GAGCGGUCCUUCUUUUAGAGCUCUUUUUGUCCUAAAUACAGUAGGCCAGAACUUCAGACAUGUCUAUCUCAACAUAGGCUGCUGACAGGGUAGGGUACCCCAUAGACAAAUUACAGUUUAGGCUGAACUUUAUAAAACAAUGUUCUCUCAGGUCAGGGCAGUAAAGACAGUACAAAGAGCACCUAACCAGUACACUUGAAAAUUGUAAUGUCCUCAGGACAGGUUGCAGAUGUUGGCUGACAAAGAUAAUUAUCUUUAUGAGAAUAUAUUUUUAGAUAGUUUUCUUGUAUUAAGCUUUAAAUAAAACGUUAGAAGCAAAUAAUUUUUUCUUAAAAUAUUUAUCCUAAGUUAUACCAUCUCAGAAGAGCUUACCCCACAUCCAGCAAGAGGGCUUCUUGUGACUUCUUCAGGCAGCUUUGGCUUAGAUUGUAAACCAAUCAGGUUUACACCAAAAAGGUGUGGUUUGUGAUUAAAACCAGCUCAGCCACUGUCUGUCAGCUGGCUGCAUUCACUUACAUGGUGCUGAUAGCCUGCUUAAUUGGAAAAUACCACACAUUUGCUUAAGUGAUUACCUGGAGCUCAGACCACACUGAUACUUGCAUGUUGCUGUAGCUGGCAUUGACGAAGUGGUGAAUACCACUGAUCUUUUGCAGGUUUUUGUGGAUGCAGUUCUGGCAGGUGACUGCAGGAAUAUACCUGCCCUGAAGUUACAAGUUUAUAGACCAGCAUCUGAGAGUAAAAUGAAAAUUGCAGCAGUUUACACGGGUCUGUCAGAUUUGAAUUGCAACGGAGACACCUGAAGUUGGAAGGCAGUGUUGAGAGGCAAUCCCACCUACACUUGCCAUUGGGAUGUGAGCUUGGAGAGAAGGGAGGAGAGUCAAAAAUGGCACUCACCACUGCAGAAAAGGGAAAGAAACACAAGAGGAAGGACUGACAAGCCAAGAUGAACCAGCUGAAAUAGAAAAUGGUGAGAUAACAAGCAGAGGACAGCAGAAAGGAAGGCCUGACAAGGGUUAAUCAGCAGCAAUGGAAAGCUCAGUAGGAUUACAGGAGUGCAGAGGAGCUGCAGAAGGAGAAUUGUUUAGCUGUGAGGAGGCAGAAAUGGAGGAGAGAGCAGGCGUGCAGGAGAGGAAGUUGGCUCGAUCACAGGAUUUCCGUCAGAGACACUUUGCACUGCAAGAGCAAGCAUGGAUGAAGCAAGUGGGGAAGGUAAGCUGGUUCUGUGGGUAGGUAUGACAGUUCAUCAUGAAAAGAAAGGACAAAGGAGUCAGUGGUUAAUGAAAGUUGUGUGUGGUAAAUGUAUAGUUAGGACAUUGCUGCUGAAGCAAACAUUUCUGUACUUAACAUCAAAAUGCAAAUAAAGCUAAAAGAUGUGCGAGGUUCAUUUUUAAUCAAUGCUACUAGUUGGUAUUAUUUCUUUAGCUUUUCUUCACUCUGUUAUUUUCAUCAUUCUGUUUUUCUUUCUUUUUUAACAAUCUACAAGACGUUAGUUUCUGCUCUGCACCUUCUUGCAGUACAAAGCUCUGAAAUAAUAGUUUUCCUGAAAAAGUUAUUUAUCUGUUGUUGCUAGGAUUUAAAUGCACCUGCAGCCCACAAUCUUUCCAUGUUGUUAUAUUCCAUGCCAGCUAAAAAUAAGUGAGACAACUAAGGCUUGUUAAACCGCUUAACAGAUAAGAUACAGCAGCCAAGCUAUGCCCAGAGUAUUCAGAACUGCAAAGGUUCAUUGCAUUGUAAUUAUAAUUUUACUUUUGGUUUUUUUGUUUGUUUUUUUUCUUUUCUUAAAACCACAUCCCUGACCUCCAGAAGUUAGGGAAGAUGCUUCAGACCAGCCUUUCAGUUAUCAGAAGUAUUUUUUCAAGCACUAUAAAGACAGUAAACAUAAUUUAUUAACACAGAGUUUUAAGGACAGGUUUAUGGCAUCCAAGGCUUUCAAAGAAAGCUUUAAGGUUCUGCUGGUGCAAAAAGAUGUGUCUUUGUCGGGGAACACAUGAUUUUCUCUUAAUGUGUGGGGCCACUUUAAAUUUGUACGUCUGCAUUAUUAAACCAUCGUGGGAAGUGUAGCAGGAGGAAACCCCGGGUAAUUGGCUGCAGCUCCAGAUGCAGCCGCUCGCCCAUUGGAGAGCGGAGGAUUCUCCGAGAACUAAAAUUAGACACUCUCCGCCCUCCAGAAAUGCUUCUGGAAACAGCGAGCAGGAGAAAUUCUGACACAGCCCCAGGGCCUGUGGAGAGGAGAGAAGUGCACAGGACUCUGCUCCCAGUCAAACUGCAGCCUCUAAGGAUGCACAGAAAGAUGUUUGGGGGUUUUUUGACUCGGUUAACUGUAAAAAAAAAUAAAUGCGCGCAAUAAAGAAAUUGCAAGGGAUUCAUGUUAACUGUUCUAUAUGGAUAUUAAAUCUAACAUUUCUUAUGUAAUAAUUCUGAAGUGUUCAUGCAGCUGAGGAAGACUUUAACUGCUAAAUUUAAGCUAGGGCUGUCAGACUUGAGCUCACUGAAAAGGAACAACUCUUGCUGAAUUAAUUCUGAACUAAACUAAAAAACUGGUGAACUCUUUCUAUCAGCAUUUUUUUAAAAAAAUAAAACAUGUUUAUCCAUUAUCUCUCUGUAGCUGGAGUGUUUACGCUGUCUUCAAAUGAAACACUGCAUAAGGUAUUUCUGUUAAUUAAAAAAUGCUAUGUGCCUAUGUCGGUGAAGGAAAGCCUGUAUCUGAACUACUCAGUCUAAGGCAUUUGGAACCUUCAUUUUUUUAGGGUAUGUGAAUAAUAACUUCAAUCUUUGGUUUCUAAGCAUAUCUCAAACUGGCUGAGAGGAAAUAAUUGCAUUGUUUUGUUUCUUGUUUCUAUGUUUACAGUAUUUACAUGACUCACAAAAAAGAUUAGGACAAAAUGGAUUUUUCUUACACUAAAACCAGCUUGUGCAGUAAAUUUGCUAUUUCCUCAGCUAACGAGGGCACACAGUGUCAGCAUCUAUGGCUCCAAGUAGGGGGGCUUUUUUGUC